GGUCUGUGAUGUCAUGUAAAAGGUCUGAACACCAGAGUCCACCCCUGUCCACGAUCUACGCUCCCAGCAGCCCCAGCUCCCAGCUCCCAUCAUGUUCUAGUUGUACAGUGGUGGUCUCAGCAGCUGCUGACAGACAGGAUGUGACAUCACAGUAAGAGUCUGCAUAGAGACUGCAGGCUUACUGAUGUUGUCAUCCAACACAACCAAUUAUAUUGGAGCAUCUGACUGAGGGGACCUGAGUGCUGAUCUAACUUUGUUACUGAGACC